UGGCGAUAAGCAUGCAAGUCGAGCGGGCUUAUUCGGGCAACUGGAUAAGUUAGCGGCGAACUGGUGAGUAACACGUAGGUAAUCUGCCGUGAAGUGGGGGAUAACCCAUAGAAACAUGGACUAAUACCGCAUAUACUCUUGCUACAUAAGUAGAGUAGAGGAAAGUUUUUUCGCUUCACGAUGAGCCUGCGGCCUAUUAGCCUGUUGGUAGGGUAAUGGCCUACCAAAGCUACGAUAGGUAGCCGACCUGAGAGGGUGACCGGCCACAUUGGGACUGAGAUACGGCCCAGACUCCUACGGGAGGCAGCAGCUGAGAAUCUUCCACAAUGGACGAAAGUCUGAUGGAGCGACAUCGCGUGAGGGAUGAAGGCCUUCGGGUUGUAGGAAAUUAUCGAAGAAUGAACAGUAUAAUAGCCUGGCUAAUUCGCCCG
rnacentral:rRNA from 1 species